UACAAACCCAAAAACACAAACUUAGACGCAGCCCAAAAAAUUCACCAUAACUAAUUCUAUUUCAAUUUCAAGCCGUGGAUCUCUUAUUAGACCCAACACCACUCCUCGAGCUUGUUUGACCAACCAAAUAUGAAAUCUUUGUCUUAAAACAACCAGCUCAUAGCAUAGCAGAGAAAAACUAAGAGAGAGAAACAGUGACCAAAAGAAAAUAUAAAACAAAAAAUGAGGUACCCGUUCAUGGAAAAUUCUUAGCUAGUCCGGGACUACAAGGUCAGCUUGCUGACUUUGUAGUCCCAGCCAAUAAACAUAUGCUUAUCUGCCAUGUUAUUCCACUUCAAUUUGAUAUUCUAACGUCCGUUUAACCCGUCAAUUCUGAGAUACAUUCAAAUUAGCAAAUUCAAAAUUGAGCUGAAAAUGGGCGGGUAUUGAAAUUUUGGCAUUGAAAACUUCCAAAUUGGUUUAUGGAAUAUCAGAAUACGUUUUCCUAUUCCAUGGGAUCAUUUUCCCCAAACGCCAAACAAAAUGUAUUCCAUGGUACUGCCCCUCUCAUUUCCUCCCCGUAAUCCGGGGCCUUCUCAUCCAAAUGCUUUAAUGGGCAAUCUAAAAACCUUGUAGAUCUUAAGGUAUGUUGUUCCUCCAACAAAGGAUGAUAAUUCUUGCUCCAAGAUUCAAGCAAUCACAAAUCUAUCAAACAAUGAAUGGAACAAACUUGGAAGACACUUGCUUGGAGAGAGGGAAUCUCAACUUGCCAAGGAUGAAGAUGAGGAUGAGUAACAAGGCAAGGAUGAGGAUCAAUAAGUUGAACAUGAAUAAGCUGUCAUUAUCGGCUUUGGAUGAGAUGGAUAAGUGAUGAAGUUCAAGAUUGAAGGCUGGCUGGUUUCUUUAGCCAGUAGGAUUCAUUUGUUGGAGAUAGAAAUUAUUAGCAACUUAUUUCCUAAACUUUUGCGAGUGUAGAGGAUAGGAUUACAUUGUUUGCUAGUUAGUUAUCAAGUUUAUGUUAUUAGUUGGGUACCUAUCAUCAACUAUACGUGUCGCAUUACAUUAAUUUUUAGAUAUAGUUGUGUCAAUGUGUGGGAGUCACAUUACAUUGAUUUUUAAUGACUGAAUACUCUGAAUAAUCACAUCAAAUCAAUAUCUAUUUUGUAAGAUCAAUGGCAUUACAUUGAUUUACAUUGAAA